rnacentral:rRNA from 1 species
UACGUAGGGACCAAGCGUUGUUCGGAUUUACUGGGCGUAAAGGGCGCGUAGGCGGUCAGCACAAGUCAGUUGUGAAAUCUCCGGGCUUAACUCGGAAAGGUCAACUGAUACUGUGCGACUAGAGUGCGGAAGGGGCAACUGGAAUUCUCGGUGUAGCGGUGAAAUGCGUAGAUAUCGAGAGGAACACCUGCGGCGAAGGCGGGUUGCUGGGCUGACACUGACGCUGAUGCGCGAAAGCGUGGGGAGCAAACAGG